rnacentral:tRNA from 1 species
GGUAAGGUAUCCAAGUUGGUUAAAGGAAGCAGAUUGUAAAUCUGAUGGGUUUUACUCUUCGGGGGUUCAAAUCCCUCCCUUACCA